AGGGCACCACCAGGGGUGGAGCCUGCGGCUUAAUUUGACUCAACACGGGGAAACUCACCCGGCCCGGACACCAUAAGGAUUGACAGAUUGAUAGCUUUUUCAUGAUUUGGUGGAUGGUGGUGCAUGGCCGUUCUUAGUUCGUGGAGCGAUUUGUCUGGUUUAUUCCGAUAACGAGCGAGACUCUAGCCUACUAAAUAGUCUGCACAUUGCUUCUGUGUUGCAGUACUUCUUAGAGGGAUUUUCGGUGUACAGCCGCACGAGAUUGAGCAAUAACAGGUCUGUGAUGCCCUUAGAUGUCCGGGGCUGCACGCGCGCUACACUGGCGAAAUCAGCGCGCUUGUCCUUGCUCGAAAGAGCUUGGUAAACCAAUGAAAAUUUGCCGUGAUUGGGAUCGGAAAUUGCAAUUAUUUUCCGUGAACGAGGAAUUCCAAGUAAAUGCGAGUCAUCAACUCGCGUUGAUUACGUCCCUGCCCUUUGUACACACCGCCCGUCGCUGCCCGGGACUGAGCCAUUUCGAGA
rnacentral:rRNA from 1 species